CAUCUCUCUCUCUCUCUCGCACAAGAUCUCUCUCUCUCUCUCUCUCGGUGCGUGCGUGCGCACAGUUCACACCACUAGACCCAAACCCUAAACCAAAUCAGGGGAGCUCUCGUUGCCGGAUCGCUGGCCUAUCGUCCGGAUGUCCGCCGCGUCAGUUCCCCACAGCUACGGUGCCGCCAGCCACCACCGUUCCAUUGCCUUGGAUUCGGCUGUGCGCGUGGGCUGGGAACCAUUCUCUGUUGUCUGAUACGUCGUUGGAGCGGGAGGUUUGGUCGGUCGAGGCCAGGUAUGAGCAGCUCCUGAGCUGGAUGGAUGGAUGGAUGCAGGUCAUGUGUCGUGAACUAACACCACGACACCUCUUUUGGAACGGAGGGAGUAUAUUUUGGAACGGAGGGAGUAUGUAUGUACGUAUGGAUAUCAUGGUCAUGUUGCUUGGGGUUCAACCUCUUUUUUGGCUAAAAAUGAGGGGCGAUGCCCAUAAUUAUGAAUGUGGCUGUGGCGAGGUGCGACUAAAUAGUGCCUAAAAAUUGGUGUCUGCGCUGGAGUUGGUCUUAGAGCCCACCCUUACCUCUGUUGCAGCCUGUCCAAUUCAUCGCCAAUGUUGUUGGAUGUUCUGUGCCUUGGACGGUCGUUCUGAUGAGUGAUAACCCGGGAAGUUCUCUUACAUUGUGAUGGGUGGAUUAUGCAGCAAGAGAUGUGAGUGUUGGGUUUGAAGAUGAAAUGCAAAACUGAGCCCUCUCUUGCUAUGUUACAUAUACUCAGUUCAGUUGCAUUUUGUUCUGGAUCAGGGAUGGAUCCUCCUCUCUCUCUCUCUCUCUAUCCCCCUCUCCCUACGAAGAAGAAGAAGAAGAACAAACCAGUGAAGCUCUCAUCGCCGACUCGCUGACCGAUCGUCUGGGUGGCUGCCACAUCAGUUCCGUGUUGCUAUGGUGCUACCAGCCUGCCAUUCCAUUGCCUUGGAUUUGGUUGUGGCAUGGGCUGGGAACCGUAGAGUUCUGUUCUGAUGUGUCUGUCUGUGACGAGGUUUGGUCGGCUGACGCCAGGUAUGAGCAGCUCCCGAGACUGUCUAAGUUACUCACCACUAUGGCCAGUCUGAUGGAUGGAUGGAUGCUACUGUGUGAUGAAGAGAUGGAGUUCUUACCAGGGGUGAUGAUGAUGACCAUGGCUGAAAUAAGCAUGUCUUGAGCAAUUAAGGCAGCUGUGGCCUGUGGGUACUAAAUUAGAGCGCACCCUUACCUCUCUUGCAGCAAUUCAAUUCAUAGCUAAUGUUGGAUGUUCUGUGCCUUGGACGGUCAUUCUGAUGAAUGAUAACCAGGGCAGUCCUCUUACAUCGUGAUGGGUAGAUUAUGCAGCAAGCUAUGUGAGUGUUGGGAUUUAAGAUGAAAGGCAAAACUGAGCCCUCUUUUGCUACGCUACAAAUAUUUGAUUUUACCUUCUUUAAUAUGCAUUGUUUUUUUUCUUUUCUAUUCCUCUCUAUUGUGUUGAUGUGAGUAACGACCCAUCUGGACUUGGAUUUAUGUCUUCUGAACACAACAUAUUUGUUUCCGUUGUGUGUUGAUGAGUUCUAUUCUUUUUCUGAAUGGCUAUGAUGAUUUCCUCCCACUUGGUGUUGAAUAUCUUUCAACAUAUCAUGAGAUAUAGAUGCUUUCACGUCUCCUAAAUUGGUUCCAUUCAACUUUGCCCAGUUAGACAGUUAGUUAUACUAGAAGGUCUUGCUCUAUAGCAAGUUACCAGUUACGGCUAUUUGUUGCUGGGCGGGGAAAGAGAGAGACAGAGAGAGAUGGUAAGGAGACCUGAAGGAUUGGAAUAUCACCAAAGAACUAGCAAUGGACAGGGGUGCAUGGAAAUUAGCUAUCCACUCGCCUACCCCAACUUGUUUGGGACUGAAAGGCUUUGUUGUUGUUGUUUGGUACCAUAAGGCUUCAAGUACUACCUGAAGCGUUGUCCAACUUUGGUGAUUUAUGGUGGGUUAAAUCUGAGCCAUUCAAGUAAUACUCCACAAUUUUCCUGGAUUUCACGAACUAUUCCUCGUGCAUGUGAUUGUUAUGACACCUAUGUCUGAUACUUCUACUACUGUUUGAUUACAGUAAUUUGAUCAGUGAGAUUUUCCUACUAACUUUUCUUUGUUUCUUCUUGAUUUGAAGAAUGCCCGUUUGGCAACUGUGAAUGGUC
rnacentral:lncRNA from 1 species